UUAAAUGAAGGCACAAAGGGUGCGGCCUCGAGGAGAGGCACAGCAGUAGGCCGGCCGAGGCUCUAGGCCGAGACAACAGAAGCUCUCGGCGCAUCAAGCAAAGGUGUUUCCGGUACACGUUGGAUAAGUCACGCCCCGAGGCGGGUGCGCUCCGGCCACCGGCAGGCACCGACAUUGAUCGCAGGUAACGCGGCGGGGGGUGGUCACUUACGAUUUUCGUAGCUAACUGGAAUGUCCAUUUAUAGCGAAUGAUGCAUGGCUUACCGAAAUGGCCGAGUGACAUCCACUGCUGUGUCUCAACAGUGAGUCGACUUCAGGGAAACGUCCAGUGUACGUGGAUAGUAAGGCGUGCUCGGAAUGAGGUGACUGUUCCCAGGAGGGCCGAUCCGGCCCGGCCCUCAAGGCGGGUGGUGGCGAGGACACAGCCGCACACAGAGAGAGGGGACUUUGCCAAGGUCACGCGGGGGAAGUGUGGCAGAGGCAGGACUGGAGCCCAGGGCUGUAGCCACAGGUCACUGGGGUGCCCCUUCCCCCUUUAAGCCAACUGCCCAGCUGCAGACCUGAGCCCAAAGCGGGAGCUCUGGCCGCAGUGGCCUCGGGAACUGGGACAUUUGCAGGUGACAUUAGGCAAAUCAGCGGUGUAAAUGGCUGUUACUGAAAAUGAAGGUAUCAUGUGGCCUGGGGAGGCCAAGGGUGAGUCAUUUCAAGAUGAGCUGUCUCCCUCCACCCAGGGACCACGGGGCACCCAGUUCUUCCCUCAUGAAUAAACACUUUAAGCUGUUCUGCGUAGGCUGAGAAGCCCAA